CAAUUAACAAAAAGAUCAAUUACUAAUUAGUUAAUAAUUGAAUUUAUUUUUAAAUGAAUACUUAUGCAACUCAACAGAGCCAAGUCGAGCCUAGUUUACUCGGUUGAGCCAGAGCAUGAUCAAGAACAGCUACCGAGCCUAGCCGCAGUCUGACCUAGACGAAGAUAAAUUAAGCUAAUCUGUGAUUGAAUCUGAGCCGAGCAAAAUCUCGAGCUGGAACGACUCGGUACCCUACCUAGCGGUAGCGGUGUUGAAUUAGAAAAGAUUAACAAUUUAGCCAGUAGUUUGCAAACACAACAGUCCACAUCCUAAAUCGUUGUCCAACCAAAGUUGUGAUAAAAGCGACUCCAAAAACACGGAAUGGAGUGAAACCAUAAGUCAGGUCAAGCAAGGAAGCAAAUGUUGAAGUAACAUCAUUAUUUUCCUUCAACUUCAAAUAUCAAUCCAGUUGAAGAAGACCCAACAACAGAUUCAACUUCUCCUCCAAAAAAAUGAGAGAGUCUGAAGAAAAUAUAUGAGUUUUGAAACUUUAUAACAAUUGAACCAGAAAUGUGGCAGAAGUAGUGAAAGAAGAAGCCCAAGUAAAGGCAAUGCAAAGGCAUACACAUAAUUGACCAGAACAAACAUCAGGCUGGUUUAUCUACCUUAAGAAAGAGAUAUGAGUAUGCUAUGACGGAUAUACAAAAUGUAGUUAGAUUAUAAUGACUCUAUGCAGAUAAUAAAGCAAAGGCUGGUGGCAGGAGAAUUCCCAGAAAUACAGAGCACUUUGCUAUUGACAUUUUCACCCAUUGCAGCUAGAAGUCAUUCCAUUGUUGAUUUCUUGCUACUCAAAAGAAAUGCUAGACAUUUCAACUUCAUCUUAGUUACAUUAAAAGAUCUAUGUAUUUAGGAAUUUGUGAGGAAAUUACUUAUCUAAAAAAGAUUCAAUAAGAAAAUUUAUGUUGACCAA